rnacentral:lncRNA from 1 species
AUCUGUCUUAGAGCUAUUGGAAUCCUGGAUCAUUGUGGGAAAUGAAAAGAACUGGUUUUUAGCAAGGAGACCAAGAAACUCUACUCCCUAGGGGCUAGCAAUGAGAGAAAGGAAGCCUUGAGUCUUUGAGCACAGGGUGACAGUUUGGGUCCUAUGUGAGAUGAUCAAAUCCACAGCAACAGAGGAAAGGACAAAAGGAAAAGAUACUUCGAUGGAAUCAGCAGCCAUUGAUCCAAUGCCAACUCCAAGACUGGAACGUCGCAAUGAUAGUUCCAAGGCGGAAAUUUGACGUAAUUCUUUUCGACACAGUUUUACAGGUCUGGAUGCCCAUUUUAAUUCUUCUGAAAGCAUGCCUCCUUCUGGCUUCAGGACUCCAUCUCCAGCCUUAUGAUCUAAAAAUAAUCCCCAAACCAAAAAAUUAGAUAUUAUUUCCUCAAAAUUAGGUGUUUUAAUCAAAACAUCUUAACAUAAAUACAUUAUUAUCACCCAAUA